rnacentral:tRNA from 1 species
CCCUAAAAGUUCUGAGAGUAU